AAAUAACUUACACAGAACAUUCCCUAUAAGCAUUUCAGUUUAUUUAUUGUAACCAUAAAAUGAUGUUUCCGGAAGGUUUAUUUUAUUUAUUUUUUUUGUAGGUUAUAAUUUCACUACUUAAACAAAUUCAAUUAAAAAUAACAUUUUUAAUUAAGCCUACUUAUUUCUUUUAACUCUGUAUUUGAAAUGAACACCAAAUAAUUCCUCACAAGCUAUGCUAGCAGUCAAUUAACCAUUUUAGCCAGUAAUGAUUCCUCUUGAAGUAUUCGUGUUAGCAAAAUGACAUCUUAAAAUAAACAACAUCUGACAGAUUCAUUAUUCAGUUGUCACCUCUCUUCAAAAACCUCUCUCCUAAGGUAACAUUUGCUCGGCCUGGAGAAUUGAGAUGAAAAACAUCACUAGUCAGCUGACGCGAGCGACUGUUAACAACGCUAACACCAAUUACUCACACCUGAGAGUCAAAAAGAAACGGUUCGCGCUGACAGGCGGAGAAAUGGAAGUGAAAAAGAAGACACCAAAUUACCAGGCGGCUUUAUCUGCGCACUUCCAGGUCUUCGUGGUCGGAUGAGUGACUUUUAUCCGGCAAUCAGCUCGAAAGAUGAAGAAAAUGGCAUUUUUUAACAGCCUGAGCUACAAUUUGAGGGAUGCAGCGAGAGGUUUGGAUGUUCUGUAUGGAUGCGACAGAGGCAGGCAGCCAAAGCAACGUCGGAUGAUGAGCAUGAGUGAGAUAGUACACUUUGAUAGUGAGGACAGCCGAUAUAUUCUGGCACCAGUCCAAGCAUGCUGAGAGGAACGGAUGACCUGCGUCAAAAAUGGUGCUGGCAACUGUAACAUCUGCGUAGGAGGCCGAAUGGUCCUUUGCAAGUGAAGAGCUGCACUCCACUGUUCCUACCUCAAACCAUAAAUGGAUAAGCAUAUGGACCCUGGCUUCAAGGAGAGCAAAGACUGCAGGAAUUAAUUCAAUCAUACUUUCACCGGGAUGGGGUAUAUGAACAAAUGGCACUGGAAUAACUGGAGGCUAUUUGAUGCUAGCCCACUACAUCCGACCCAAAGGUAUGCAUUUUCAUGAGGAUUUGAUGCUUUGUUAUUGCAGUUGUCCACUGGUCCUUGAUUGAUUUUGCCUCAUUGGCAUUCACAAUUUCCUGUCCUUUUGUAAUCGCCCUUAAAUAGAC
rnacentral:lncRNA from 1 species